rnacentral:rRNA from 1 species
CUUAAAUUGAAGAGUUUGAUCAUGGCUCAGAUUGAACGCUGGCGGCAGGCCUAACACUAGCCAGUCGAGCGGACACGAGCUAUCAGCACCUACGGGGGA